CAUGCCCUGAGCUCUUGUACAUAAGGAAGGUUGAACAUUGCUUCCAGCUUCUGGUAAUAGAUAUCUAUUUAUUGAUUUAUUGACCGUCAGUUACUUCUUGCCUUAAAGGUUUGGAUGAGUUAAAUCCUAAACGAGAAUCUUUGGAGCAAGAACUUAGAUGUUUGCAAUCCAGUGUAGCUGCACUGAAAAAUGGUGAGUAAUGUAAAAACAUUUUAUAUGCUGUACAGUAUUAUUUAUAGCUGCAUACAGCUUAAAA